rnacentral:rRNA from 1 species
AUGAAGAAAAAAAGAGAUCUCAUUAAUGCUUCUAAAAAUAGUUAUAGCAAUCCCUCUCCAUCUGAGCUAGAACGAAUCCCAGUCAAAUCUCUAAAUGCUUUUGGCAUUCUUUUCCCUCGCAUUUCCCUAAUUCUUUUAUUAAUAUGGGAAUGGGAGCAAAUGAGGAGGCAUCGAGUCGAAGAAAUGAAUUGCUCUUUGGCUAGUGGAAAUGGGGUUCUUGUCGUCAACGAAGUAACUGCUCUAUUUGGAGAGUGGAGCCAGCCUCAAAGCCGCCUUGGUUCUAUAGUAAUCUCUCAGCGUUUGAGUUGA